UUGUCACAGCCACCAAGUUAUUUGUCGCAAAACCACAGUGGGGUUACGUCAGUGGGACUUUAUGAACAUCUCAGGACCUGUCACAAGAUGUGGUGGUUCUAAGAGACCUGGCACCAUGAAGAUGAGGCAAAUGGAACUCCCCAAAACAAACACAACUAACAGGACUCGGUCGAAAAAGGUAUGCGGAGCACCCAUUGAAGUCAGUAGGACCUCAGCACCUCCGACAAUCAGUUAGCAUAGGUAGCGGUCUGCAAAAGUGGAGAUAGCCAGUUGGAAAAGGAGAGCCCUUCAAAUGCAGCCCUUCCCCACCCCACAAUGAGCCUCAUCAGGUCUUCCAUCUCAUGUCACAAGAAUGCUGUUACCUUUAUGAGAUGUAGACAUGACCUGAAAGGGCAGACUGCAGUGCCAAAAAGUCACAGAGCUUAUGUUACAGAAGAGGAGACUUUGGAGCCAAGGCAAACUUCAUCAAAUGUGACAUAUCAAGGUGAGUUUAUGCAAAAUAUGACCUCUUUUUUUCUUUGUUCCUUACCUCUAUUUGCAUGGUCUAUGGAGUUCAUGGACUUCCUUUCAGCUCCAAAACAAU